GUCAAACAUUCUGCCCUCUCAAGAAUUGUGGGAGUCAAAUCAAAGAACAGAAGGGAAAAUGUGUAAGCUGCAAAAUGCCAUCUGCAGAACACAGUUGGAAAUAACCCAGGAGCAAAGGAAGACAUGAUUUCAGGACGAGAAAAACAAAGUGUAAGGAAUCAAGCCAACUAAAGUAUAACUUAUGCAAAAAUGA